CACAACAACGGGGGGAGCCUGCGGUUUAAUUGGACUCAACGCCGGACAACUCACUGGGGACGACAGCAAUAUGUAGGCCAGGCUGAAGACCUUGCCUGAAUCGCUGAGAGGAGGUGCAUGGCCGUCGCCAGUUCGUACUGUGAAGCAUCCUGUUAAGUCAGGCAACGAGCGAGACCCGUGCCCACUGUUACCAGCAUAUCCUCCGGGAUGAUGGGUACUCUGUGGGGACCGCUGAUGUUAAAUCAGAGGAAGGUGCGGGCUACGGUAGGUCAGUAUGCCCCGAAUUUCCCGGGCUACACGCGGGCUACAAUGAAUGGGACAAUGGGCCCCUACUCUGAAAAGGGUUGGUAAUCUCACAAACCCAUCCGUAGUUCGGAUUGAGGGCUGUAACUCGCCCUCAUGAAGCUGGAAUCCGUAGUAAUCGCGUUUCAAUAUAGCGCGGUGAAUACGUCCCUGCUCCUUGCACACACCGCCCGUCAAACCACCCGAGUGAGGUAUGGGUAAGGGCACGAACUCUGUGUCGUGUUCGAACCUGUGCUUUGCAAGGGGGGUUAAGUCGUAACAAGGUAACCAAGGGCGAAUUCCAGC
rnacentral:rRNA from 1 species